CUGUAACAGAAACUGACUACUAUCACCCAAAAGUUCCUUGUAGUAGCAGCGAGAAAUUUCUCCAGAGAUGUGCAAAGUAAACGUAACUAAACUGAUGCGUUUGACGGAAAUGAUCAAAGGCUAGGCCGUCUAGCGUCAGAAGGAAGAGACCUUUAACAGUAACAGGAAAAAAACAAUUUCCCUUCUGGCUCGUUGACUUUCAAUUGAAGAACUAACUAACAAACAAAGACAAAUAACUGUGAUACUCACGUAAUAUUCUCCCCUCCAAAUUUGUAUCUCGUCUUCACCAAAAAGCCUCACCGCAUCAUCACAACAGACGAAAUUCCCCAAGUGAUUCCAGCAGACUCCAGACGUUUCAGCACCCGGGCAACAGAACUUGGACAGUGGAUAGCUGAAGAAAAACACCCAGUUGGUUAGGCAGCAACAAAUGUUUCAAUCACAAAUUACGGUGAAGAUGAAAUUAGACUCACAGCAACAGCAUGUUCCUGGUUCAUUUGAUCCUCACUCUAGGGACUGGUCACUAAUUAAAUUGGUAAUAAGGCAGAAUGAAGUCUGCUCCAUCUUCAUUUGUUUUGAACUCCUUGUUUAGAUUUGCAGAGGUUUCAUGGCCAUUUGAUAUUACGCUGCUGCCCAAUGAGGAGAUGGUGAAACGUGUGCCUUAAGCUGCUGCUGCUGUCCUUGGUUACAUUUCAAUAUGUUGUUUUUAAACCAUGUUGUCCGUCAUGGUUCUCAUCCGUGCAGUAUACUAGGAUCUAGGAGUGAAUCAAUUGAAAAUUGCUAUAUUAAAAACAUCUUUCAGCGCCAAACAACUUAUCAAGUUUUGUUUUUAUCGCGGUUGAAAAAGUAAGAAACCAUUAAAAAAUAAAG